AGAGUUUGAUCAUGGCUCAGGACGAACGCUGGCGGCGUGCCUAAUACAUGCAAGUCGAGCGCGGGAAGCAGACAAUCAUCCUUCGGGAUGUGCGCCUGUGGAACGAGCGGCGGAUGGGUGAGUAACACGUGGGCAACCUGCCUGUAAGCUUGGGAUAACUCGUGGAAACGCGAGCUAAUACCGAAUAAAAAGUCUGUUCGCAUGAACAGACGAUGAAAGACGACUUUUGCUGUCACUUACAGAUGGGCCCGCGUCGCAUUAGCUAGUUGGUGGGGUAAAAGCUCACCAAAGCAACGAUGCGUAGCCGACCUGAGAGGGUGAUCGGCCACACUGGGACUGAGACACGGCCCAUACUCCUACGGGAGGCAGCAGUAGGGAAUCUUCCACAAUGGGCGCAAGCCUGAUGGAGCAACGCCGCGUGAAUGAAGAAGGUCUUCGGAUCGUAAAAUUCUGUUGUUAGAGAAGAAUAUGAGUAAUAGUAACUGAUUAUUCACUGACGGUAUCUAACCAGCAAGUCACGGCUAACUACGUGCCAGCAGCCGCGGUAAUACGUAGGUGGCAAGCGUUGUCCGGAUUUAUUGGGUGUAAAGGGAACGCAGGCGGUUUUUUAAGUCUGAUGUGAAAGCCUUCGGCUUAACCGGAGAUGUGCAUUGGAAACUGGAAGACUUGAGUGCAGAAGAGGAGAGUGGAACUCCAUGUGUAGCGGUGAAAUGCGUAGAUAUAUGGAAGAACACCAGUGGCGAAAGCGGCUCUCUGGUCUGUAACUGACGCUGAGGUUCGAAAGCAUGGGUAGCGAACAGGAUUAGAUACCCUGGUAGUCC
rnacentral:rRNA from 1 species